AAUCCACUAGUUUAACGGUAAAAUAGUUGGCUGUUAACCAAUCUGAUGUUGGUUCGAAUCCAGCGUGGAUCG
rnacentral:tRNA from 1 species